GAAGUCGGCCAGGCAGCCGCCGCGCGCCGCAAGACGCGGGGAGGAAAGUCCGGGCUUCACAGAGCAGGAUGCCGGCUAACGGCCGGGCGCUGUAAGCCGCAAGGCCAAGGCGACGGAAAGUGCAACAGAGAGCAGACCGCCCAAGUCCGGGGCAACCCGGAACGGCAAGGGUGAAACGGUAGGGUAAGAGCCUACCGCGGACGUGGUGACACGGACGGCACGGCAAACCCCAUCCGAAGCAAGGCCAAAUAGGGAAGCGCAUGGCGUGGCUCGCGUUGCUUCCGGGUAGGCCGCUUGAGCGCAUCGGCAACGCUGCGCCUAGAGGAAUGGCUGCCCACGACAGAACCCGGCUUAUCGACCGGCUUCCCAC
rnacentral:RNase_P_RNA from 1 species